GUUGUUUUGCUGGGAUAUUGGUUUCUCUUUUUCAGUACCAACCUCACUUUGUACCCAUUGGGCACAACCUCCUGUCCUUCCGUCCGGCUUCACGACCCGUCACCAUCUCGAGGAGAGCUCUAAGUGACCCUGAGGCACAGUUCUUUGCAGAACCACCACUUUAAAGGUGAAAGAUUGUGUGACUCCAACAGUGUCCUGGAAAUUCCUGUGUGCUCACCAUUUUCAUCCCUAAUAUGACUCUGGUGUUUUAUGCAAAGGAGGACCUAAAGCUUCAAGAUAAAAAAAUGGAAAUGAGCUUGUGUGUUUUGACUUUAUGCAUGAGGCUUGGACCCCCUGGGUAUCCUGUGGGGACCAGGCACAGCUGAUUUCUUCAUCUGCAAGGCAGAAGCCUGGCAGCCACAGAUGUGAGCUCUCCAGCUUUAGGUGUGAAAGCUGCCUUGUGAAGCCAGCACUCAGGCAAUUAAGCAAGUCACCCUCCUGGUAAGCUGGUGGUUCGCCAGGCCACUGUCACUGUGGCCCACACUGCUUCGGGCAGAGGGCUUGGUGAGAUGGAGCACCUGAAAGUUUUUGCUGGAAAAGAACAAAGACUCAAAAGCUGAAAUAUUAAGACCCUCCUUUAUAAAACUUUUUUAGCCUUUAGCUCCACAUUCUACAGACAGGAUCAAAUGGAAGAUACAGAACUCAAGAUAAUAUAACAUCAUUGGUAAUCAUGAAGAAAUCCUUAGAGUUAUCAAGCAUGCACAUUAUGAAUUGCCUAUGGUUAGAUGUUAAUUAUGUAUUAUAUUGUUUCUAACAUAAUUUUUACAACAACCCUAUCAAGUCUGUAUCAGUAUUACUGUUUAGAGAUUAAGAAACUGGCUUAGAGUGGUUCAAUGCCUUAUGGUAGGUUAUACAGACUGUAAAUGGCCAGGGCAGGAUUGAAACACAGAUUUCCCUAAUAUUAAUUCCAGCCAGGGUCCACUUUAAACCCUUUCUAAACAGACAGGACACACAUGAGUUAGUAAAAUAAAUAGCCAAUUUUAUUUGGCUCUCUGGCACAGCUGCCUUGUAUUAUGCCAUGGUUUUAAUGCAUCAUUUGUAAAACUAGUUCUACCUUGUCUUUAUUUAUCCGUUAGUUUAAGAGUUACUAAGAAUUGUGAAUUGGCACAUAGCAGUUUUCCAAAUUUUUGAUAUAAAUAUUAAAAUUUUGAAUAGUUUGUAUUUUCAAUGAGGAGGAUGGAAAGAAAAAAUAUUUCUUUUUUUUUAUGUGGCUAAGCAGGCACAUAAUCAGAACUUUUGCUAGGUGCUUAUACCUUUUGUCACCAACAAUGAGAUUGUUGUCUAACGAGGACACAUGGGUGAUAUGUUAUCACCUAUGAAAAAGGAGACCAAAGUCAAGGUUAAGGAACUUUUCUGCAUGACAAGGAGAAAAGUGUUUUUUGCUGGGAUGUGAAUUGGCCCAAUUCUAAGACGUUCUCCCUCAGUACUUUUCAAGCAUUGUUUUCUAUCUUUAUCACAACUCUAUAAAGUUAGUAACUAUUCACCUCAUUUUACAAAUGAGGAAAAUGAUACAAAUUAACUUAAAUUGCCCCAAAUCUCAAGGCUAUUACUUGGCAGAGAAGGAAAUCAAAUGCCUAACUUCAAUGCUUGUGCUCCUUCCACUAACAGA